AUCAACUAUGACCUAGAAAAUAGUUUUACUAUUUACAGAAACAUUAUAUUAAACAUAAUCGCCGUUUAAUAACUUAUUGAAUAAAAAUACUAAUAUUGAUUUAUACAAAAUUUCACAUAUUAUAAUUCGAUGGGCGACUCAUACCUCGUAUCUAGAAAAAAAAAAUCAAUUUUGCGAUUUAUAUAUCAUACAAAUCCGAAAAAAAUAACACAUAUUUUGAUAUUAUAAUGUCUUAUCAUUUUAUAAUUUCAAUUUAAAGACUAAAUAGUAGUAUUGUCCUAUCUCCGUUAUCAAAUACAUCAAAUACAAAAUCGGUAAAAUCUCACAAAAUUUAAAUGUCUUAUAUUAGGUAUUUUGGUAACUAAUAUUUACCUCUUACGACUACUGAUAGCUGGUAUAAAAAUGUGUUAGUAGCGUUGGUGUUUCAAAGUUUAUGAUUAUAUUUUUGUAAUCAAUAUGUUCACUUAGAGAUCUUGCAUUAUUUAAAAAGACACGAAACCUGUUUUGUUGAACAUUAGACCUAUUAAGUAAUUAAGAAAGAAUUUUUUUUUAUUUUUCCUGUAGUUUUUCUUCUAAUAAUUGAGUAAAACCAAAAAAAAACUUAGAAAAAACGGUAACAAUUAAAAAAAUAGUAUGUUUAUUAUUUUCAAUUUUGUUUUUUUUCUGUUAACGAUAUUCGUAGAGAAUUGAAAAUAGGACGAAAACUUAUAUUUCCUGUUUCUAGACAUAGUAUAAUUUCAAUAUAUUUUAGCCAGUUUUCAGACUAUAUUUAGAUAUUCAAAUUUUGCGAGUUUUUGCGUAAAUUUUUUUCGGUAGGUAUUCGGUGGGUUAAAUCGUUAGACCGAACAGAAAUGAUUGAAAAUUUAAUAAGAGGUUCAAAAAAAGUGUACUUUGUGUAAAAAAAAAUUUAGUGUAUUGUAGAAUUUUUUUCUAUUAAUCAAAUUUUAACGAAAAUCUUAAAUAUUAUGACCUUUUAAAUUAUGUAUACCUAACUGAAC